AUAAAUCAUUAGGGCCUUUUUUAACCAGAACAUGAAUAAUAUUCAAGGUGGACGAAUGCAUACUCUUUUAUAACGUAUUGGAACGAGGGUACCCAACAUGAACUCGCGCGCCAGGUGUCUAAUGGGACAUCAUCUUUCCAUGGCUCUUGUUCGGUCAGAUCUCCCUCCAGAAGACUCAAAACACUUUGUAAAGGCUGGUGACAUCUAGUGGAAGCAAUAGGAAGUGCCAAAAUAUUCCUAAACCCCUGUGUUUUUCAAUGGGAUAGGUUUAAAGUCAAUACAACACAUCAGGUAUCCACUUCCUGUCAGAAAAUGUCUCAGGGUUUUGCCUGCCAAAUGAGUUCUGUUAUACUCACAGACACCAUUCAAACAGUUUUGGAAACUUUAGAGUGUUUUCUAUCCAUAUAUAAUAAG
rnacentral:lncRNA from 1 species